rnacentral:rRNA from 1 species
UGGGGAAUAUUGGACAAUGGGCGAAAGCCUGAUCCAGCAAUGCCGCGUGAGUGAUGAAGGCCUUAGGGUUGUAAAGCUCUUUUACCCGGGAAGAUAAUGACUGUACCGGGAGAAUAAGCCCCGGCUAACUCCGUGCCAGCAGCCGCGGUAAUACGGAGGGGGCUAGCGUUGUUCGGAAUUACUGGGCGUAAAGCGCACGUAGGCUGCUUUGUAAGUCAGAGGUGAAAGCCCGGGGCUCAACCCCGGAUGUGCCUUUGAGACUGCAGAGCUAGAACCGCGGAGAGGUGAGUGGAAUUCCGAGUGUAGAGGUGAAAUUCGUAGAUAUUCGGAAGAACACCAGUGGCGAAGGCGGCUCACUGGACGACUAUUGACGCUGAGGUGCGAAAGCGUGGGGAGCAAACAGGAUUAGAUACCCCCGUAGUCC